rnacentral:rRNA from 1 species
CCUACGGGGUGCUGCAGUGAGGAAUAUUGGUCAAUGGCCGGAAGGCUGAACCAGCCAAGCCGCGUGAAGGACGAAGGUGCCAAGCAUUGUAAACUUCUUUUGUCAAGGGACAAAAUCAGGCUCGAGAGCCUGACCGAGGGUACUUGAAGAAAAAGCAUCGGCUAACUCCGUGCCAGCAGCCGCGGUAAUACGGAGGAUGCGAGCGUUAUCCGGAUUUAUUGGGUGUAAAGGGAGCGUAGACGGCUGUGCAAGUCUGAAGUGAAAGCCCGUGGCUCAACCGCGGAACUGCUUUGGAAACUGUAUAGCUUGAGUACUGGAGAGGCAGGCGGAAUUCCUAGUGUAGCGGUGAAAUGCGUAGAUAUUAGGAGGAACACCAGUGGCGAAGGCGGCCUGCUGGACAGAAACUGACGUUGAGGCUCGAAAGCGUGGGGAGCAAACAGGAUUAGAUACCCCUGUAGUC